rnacentral:rRNA from 1 species
GAACGCUGGCGGCAGGCUUACACAUGCAAGUCGAGCGGUAACAUUUCUAGCUUGCUAGAAGAUGACGAGCGGCGGACGGGUGAGUAACGCGUAGGAAUCUGCCUAGUAGUGGGGGACAACAUGUGGAAACGCAUGCUAAUACCGCAUACGCCCUACGGGGGAAAGGAGGGGAUCUUCGGACCUUUCGCUAUUAGAUGAGCCUGCGUGAGAUUAGCUAGUUGGUGGGGUAAAGGCCUACCAAGGCGACGAUCUCUAGCUGGUCUGAGAGGAUGAUCAGCCACACUGGGACUGAGACACGGCCCAGACUCCUACGGGAGGCAGCAGUGGGGAAUAUUGGACAAUGGGCGCAAGCCUGAUCCAGCCAUGCCGCGUGUGUGAAGAAGGCCUUAGGGUUGUAAAGCACUUUCAGGAGUGAGGAAGGGCGUAUAGUUNAUACCUGUAUGUUUUGACGUUUACUCCAGAAGAAGCACCGGCUAACUCUGUGCCAGCAGCCGCGGUAAUACAGAGGGUGCGAGCGNUUAUCGGAAUUAC